UACGGAGGGUGCAAGCGUUAAUCGGAAUUACUGGGCGUAAAGCGCACGCAGGCGGUCUGUCAAGUCGGAUGUGAAAUCCCCGGGCUCAACCUGGGAACUGCAUUUGAAACUGGCAGGCUAGAGUCUUGUAGAGGGGGGUAGAAUUCCAGGUGUAGCGGUGAAAUGCGUAGAGAUCUGGAGGAAUACCGGUGGCGAAGGCGGCCCCCUGGACAAAGACUGACGCUCAGGUGCGAAAGCGUGGGGAGCAAACAGG
rnacentral:rRNA from 1 species